rnacentral:rRNA from 1 species
UGUCCUACGGGGGGCAGCAGUGGGGAAUAUUGGACAAUGGGGGAAACCCUGAUCCAGCGACGCCGCGUGAGUGAAGAAGUAUUUCGGUAUGUAAAGCUCUAUCAGCAGGGAAGAAAGAAAUGACGGUACCUGACUAAGAAGCCCCGGCUAACUACGUGCCAGCAGCCGCGGUAAUACGUAUGGGGCAAGCGUUAUCCGGAUUUACUGGGUGUAAAGGGAGCGUAGGCGGCCUGGCAAGCCUGAUGUGAAAUACCGGGGCCCAACCCCGGGGCUGCAUUGGGAACUGCCAGGCUGGAGUGCCGGAG